rnacentral:rRNA from 1 species
AAACCGUUUGGGGGUAAACCUGUGAAACCCAAAAGAUCGAAUGAAGAGAUUCAUCGUCAGCGUAUUCAGUAUUAAUGCAGGCUAUGAUGUGAUAAUAGAAUCCUUGUGGUCACUAAAUUAUACUUGCUUGUAUUAUUUUUGCUGGGUAUGUCGGCGUGCACUUCUCUUCUAGUAGAACGUCGCAACCCGUUGAAUGUUUAUCUAUGGUCUAAAUGGUAGCCUUUGAUAUUUCAUUAUAUUGAAGACCUUUAGUAUCCUGAUAAACUGUUUGACGGUAUACACAUAGUAUUGAGCCGCAAAUUAUUUGCGUUAGACUUAUCGCAAGUAAGGCUUUAUUUUGGUAGUGCGGAUUUAAUCCCGUCGCUGGAAAAAGCCUACUGUUAGCUGUGUAAUGUCUUUAACUGGCUUAUUUAUUGGUUAGCGACGCUACUG